rnacentral:rRNA from 1 species
GUGACGCAGCCUGCGCGGCGUGCCGAGUGUAGGAUGAAGGGCUCUGGACUGCCACUUCUUUUUUACGGGGCAAAAAAAGGGAAUUCUUUCUCGUCUGACGGUACCCUAUGAAUAAGCCCGGCUAACUCCGUGCCGCAAGGUUGAAACUCCGGGAAUUGACGGCGUUAUCCGGAUUUACUGGGUUUAAAGGGAGCGUAGGCGGUUUUGUAAGUCCGUGGUGAAAGCCCUCAGCUCAACUGAGGAACUGCCAUGGAUACUAUGGGACUUGAAUAUCGUUGAGGUUUGCGGAAUGGGUCAUGUAGCGGUGAAAUGCAUAGAUAUGACCCGGAACACCAAUUGCGAAGGCAGCAGGCUAAACGAAUAUUGACGCUGAGGCUCGAAAGCGUGGGGAUCAAACAGGAUUAGAUACCCUGGUAGUCCACGCCCUAAACGAUGAGGGCUCGACAUACGUGAUAUGACAAUGUGUGUCUGAGCGAAAGCAUUAAGUAAUCCACCUGGGAAGUACGACCGCAAGGUUGAAACUCAAAGGAAUUGACGGA